CGGAGAAAAAAGACUAAGUAAACAGCAAUGGGCUGUGUAGUUUGUGGCGACAUUAUGUUCAUCAAAGCUAAUGAAUGGCGAUUGAAUAUGACAAAAGGAAAAACAAUGUGGGAAAUGUGUCAGGCCGAGAAGAGGCAGGGUAAGUACUAUAAAAAAAAAAAAAGAUGAAUAAUGCCCAAAUGUUAAAACAAAUGAACAUUACCAAAUGAAAUUACAAAAAAAAAAAAAAAAAAAAAAAUUAAAAGGAAUGUUAAAUGUAAGAAUGAACGGAUUCAAAAUGCAAAGGAAGCAAACACCACUGCCAAUUUCAAAUAAUGCAAGUUCAAACAUUUCCCUGAACAAAGCUAACUGAAUUUAAGCCUACAAAAAGCAAUAUAACUAAUGCACAGGGAAGCUUCAAAUAAGUCCAUGGAAAUAAUUAAAAAAAGGCAUAUGAGCAAAUGCACACAGGAAAAGCACAUAAAACUGAACACUACAAAAUUAAUAGCAUUAGUAUUGCAGGACUAACAUCCUCUCAGCUGAUAAGUGAUAAGAAUACCACUUUGCUAUGGGAGAGAGAAGAGAGAGAGAGAGAGAGAGAGAGAGAGAGAGAGAGAGAGAGAGAGAGAGAGAGAGCAAACCUCAGCAGCCACAGCUCAUUAUCUGAUAUGUUUCUGUUAUAGAUAAAGGUGGAUGGGGGAGCUGCCAGGGCGUGUCAAGGUGACCCCAGGGACCACUUGGGAAUGACAAACAGCUGUGACUGUUAUUGACUUCCUUUUCCCAAGUGUGCAGAGUGGGGGAAAGUUGAUGAAAAAUAACAGAAUAAUUUUGUAAGAAUUAUUUGAGCCGGAGGAAGAUGUACAAGAAAAUACCUGAAGGCAGAAGACAAAAAUUGAGGCUCAUGAAAUAGAAAAAUAUGCAGAACAAAGAAAAUGCAAGGCUCAGGAAACAGGAGAAGGAAAUAGCUUGGAGCAGGAUAGAAGAAAAUGGACAAAAGAAAAAAAUUACACUGAGAGGAUAAAACUCCUAAAAUGAGAUUUUGCAAUACUUGCCUUGCGUGCAUAAGAUUAAUUUUUCAGCAUUUAAUGACAAGCCUAUGACUCAUGCCAUUCCAGCAUGUGUGUGUGUGUGUGUGUGUGUGUGUGUGUGUGUGAUGUACAGGAAAUUAGCUACGACUCAUUGUAUCAUUUCUGAGUCUCAAUCAGUCUAGUUUUUAAACUCUUUGUCCAGGUUGCAUCAGUGAUUAAUGGAUCCGCUGGAAAAGCUAUAUUUCUAGGUAAAUUUCAACCAUCUCUUUUCAACUUCCUUUCAUGUCCUCUAAUUGGUUCACCAACCCAUGCAAAGAUCUUCUCUCAAUUCUGUCUAUGCUCCCUUCAUUGCCCUGGACACUACAAUCAUAGCACUUCUCUUUUCUUUUUUUUGAGAAUGGCAGCACCAAUAUUUCCAAUCUCUUCUUGCAAGUUAAAUCUGUCAGACCAUCUGGGUUGCAUUGCCUAUCAUGGUUAUAUGCUUCAUUAUAUGUGGGGCCCACACUACUGCUGCUUAUUCCAAUCUCAGAUGGAUACAUGGCACUAUCAAUGUCUUCAUAUCUUUGUCCAUAUAGUGAAAUGCCAUUUUCAUUUGUUAACAGCUUAUAACUCUGACAAUCUCAUUGUGGUGUUUUCAGGUAACUUUAUCCUAAACCACCACUCCCAGGUCCCUCUCUUGCUUUUUUGUUUGUGGUGUGUGUGUGUGUGUGUGUGUGUGUGUGUGUGUGCGCGUGUUCCAAGGUGAACAACAAUUGCUGUAAUCAUGAAUCCACAGGAAAAAUUCUGCAAACAAAUUUAAUCAAUCAGGUAUGUAAAGCCAUUUCCUUAAGACAGCACAAGGAGCUAAGGACUAAAAACAACAGAUAAAUACAAAUAAAUAAAAUGCUGAAAAUUCAAAAAGCUACACAGCCAGCCAUAUGAAUAUUAGUUCAAGCACAAACUUCAGGUGCCCUGCACAUUACUUCAGUCACGUGGAAAGCAAGGGCAUAUAAUCAAGUAAUGUUAAGCCUUCAAACAUUUCUUAAUUGUAAAGCAAAUCAUAAAAUAAUCAAACAUUAAGUGAACCACAUAUAAGCCGGAGAAAAAAUCUAGUUAAAUGUGUGUAACUUCUGCUGCUUGGGAAUAAAUGAAGUCAGCACAUAAUCAAACUAUCAAACAACGUCUAAUUCAUCAUACAUAAGCUGGACAAAAUCUGGCUAAGGAUGUCUUUCAAGGAUUUCAAAAUAGAAGUGGUGGACAUGACACAAAGAGCGACAGGGGAAAGGGAGCCGAGGUAAGAGACAGGAGUACGAUUGACCGGAAGAAAACUAGGUAACUUUGAGUUCACCUUUCAGUCCUUUCUGUUAUCACAAUUAAUACAUCAUGUAAUCAUAAUCGAUUACACCUAAUUUUAUUGUAAUUGUAAUCGUGAAAAUAUGAAGUAAUCAUAAUCGAUUACAUAACAUAAGUAAUCGCCCCAUGUCUGAAAUACAGAAGGUUAAAAAGACUGAUAACAAGGGAAUGAGAGAUGAGUGGGGUGCAAGGAAUCAUGAAAAUCAAUCUGGAGAAAAACUAGUUGAAGGUGUAGGGAACUUCCACUAAUUAGAAAUACAGUAGCUUGAGAUGACUGAUUACAAGGGAAUGGGAGAUUAGAAGUGCAGGAAAUCAUGGCCAUCAAUCUGAAGAAAACCUAGUUAAGAUGCAUGUAACCUCCACUGAUAAGAAAUGGAUUAGUCUGAGAAGAUAACAAUGGAUUGACGCAGGUGCAAGGAAUCACGAAAAUCAAUUUGGAGAAAACCUAGUUCAAAAUGCUUGUAAUUCCACUGAUAAGAAAUACAUUAGUUUGAGAAGACUGAUAAACUGGGAAUGAGAGAUGAGGACGUGCAAGGAAUCAUGAAAAUCAAUCUGAAGAAAUAUUAAUUGAAGAUGCCUGGAACUUAAUUUGAUAAAAAGUAGUUUGAAAAGACUGAUGAGGGGAAAGGAGAUGAGGGGAAAGGAGGUGAGAGGUGAAGGAAAUAAUGACAACCAAUCCAUCAAAAAAACAUCAAUUCAAGGAAACAUAGGCUGGAAAAAAAAAUAA